UCCCGCCGGUACUCUGCUUCCUAGCCCAGUUCCCCAGAUCCCUAGCGAGGGAGGCUGGGAGGCGAGACAGGGUUCACCAAGAAAAGGAGGGGAAGGGUUUUUCAUCUUCCCUAUUUUCAGGAGUUUAAGUAUCAAAUUCUGGGAGGGCAUUCUAUCGUCCCUCCUCUAAAAGCAUUUGGAAUAACUUGGUGCCAAGCACAGGCAGGAUGUCGAAGAGGAAAGAUGCGCUCCUGUAAGUGGUGAGCUUAGGCACAAGUGGGACAGUGGUUCUACCGGGGACCCAAGCACUGGUGUCCUGUGGAAGGUCGCCACAUCCAAGUCACAUUCUCUCUACUGCGAACCCCCCUUCUCUCUCACUCUCCCCGAAGUCUCCAUAGGCCUUAAUGCCGGUAAAUGAAGAGAAAAGCGUGGAAUGGUGGGAGGAAAUAUCGAGCUAUGGAGGUCAAGCUGUCUUCUGGCCUGCAUUUUCAGUGACAAAAAGGUGGAUAGAUGGAGACAAUGACCCUCUAAUUUGGUGUAAGAGAAGAUAUAACUUUCCAGGAAGGCUGUGACAGCAAACAUCUCCGAAACUACUCUGAGCACCCACUCUGGGCGGCACGCUUCAGGCAGACUUUUCCAGAAACAAGAACUGACUGUAUUGUGGGGCGAGGGGUGGCCAGGGUCUCCAUCCUCCACAAGGGGGCACGUGCUCAUGACCUUGGUGCCUGCGAUGCUGUUGCGCUGGCGGUGGAGGACAUGCCUGGCUCUGGCCCGCUUGGACCUCGCCUUGCCUACCCGAUGGGAGAGGCGGACUUGUGUGGACAGACCUUCUUCUCAACCCCGGAAUCUGCCUCUGCGCUGCUGAGUCCAGACGCAUCACCAGGGGAAAACUGAGGUGAGGACGCUCACGACUCCAACUGAGCCUGGACAGCAGUCCCCCACAGUGGCAGAACAGUGGUCAUCAAAACCAUUUCCCAGCCUUUGUCUAUGUCUCUGUGGGGAGGGGGUGGGGCGGGGCCGGGGGCAGGUGUUGCCUUGCCCUGGGAUGGUCGCCAAGUUCUAGUGAUGAUUCUCUCCAUGAGGACAAAUUUUUCAGCCAGCAAACUCAAAUGUCGUCCUCAGUCCUUUUUAUGAUUGAAGGUAAAAGGAGAGGGGGUGGCAGAGGAUGAGAUGGUUAGAUAGCAGCGCUGACUCAGUGGACAUGAAUUUGAGCUAACUCGGGGGGGUAGUGAAGGACAGAGGGGCCUGGCAUGCUGCGUCCAUGGGGUCGCAGAGAGUCGGACACGAGACUUAGCGACUGAACAAUACAACAAAGUCCUUUCUAAGUGUAUUCCCUGCCUCCUCUCCACCCUGGAGGAGGCAUUCCUGGGAUCCUUGGGUCAGAAAAGGGAAGUGUUGGUCAGCAGCCUUGGGAGGCAAAAAGACUCUUGCAAAGUCUUUUUUUUUUUUUUUUUUAAGAAUACUAACACAUCUUGCCAAUUUAAAUUGGGUUCCUUAAAUCCUUUAAGGAACCCUAAAAUUGCAACCACUGCUGAGCUCACGUUUGCCUCUGCCACAUGCCAGCUGUGUGACCUUUGGCCAGGCACUGGACCUCUCUGAACCAAUUAGCCCUUCACGUCCAUCCAGAGCUCGCUGUCUCAGCUCCUUUGAACUGGCUCUCCUAGUGCCCAUUUCCUGCCUCUUAAAUUCUCUUUAUUCCAAUCCUGCCUGAAGCAGGUGGGCAGCCAGUCCUAUUAGAAAUCUCAUUCACACUUGGGAAGGCUGCAAAUUGUUGUCACUCAGCAGGUGCGUGCCCUUCACUGGAGGAAAGGGGGCUGGACUGAGUAGAAGGGGACAGAAGUGGAGAACCGGGAGAGGAGGGGGAUCAAUCUCUCCCAGGCAGUCUUCAGUAUCCAGGGCUGCUCUGGAGACAGAUGGGAGAGAGAUCCUGCCUCUGUGAAACAAACAUCUGGCAGGGUGGGUCAUGGGUGCUUUCCUGAUUUGAGAGAUGGACAAGAGUGCUGCUGUUGCUACGGGCAAGGUGCAAAGCAGAGGGAGCGAGGCACUCCUAGGGGGGUGGGUAGGGAUGCCUGGCUUCCAAUUCACACACACCCCAGUUCCAAUCCUGGAUGCAUCACUUAGUAGCUGUGUGACUUUGAGGCAUCAAAGAGAUGUGUGACUUAACAUCUCUGAGCCUUAGAUGUCUUAAUUAUAAAAUGGAACUGAUCAUAUCCACCUUGUUAGGUUAUGAUAAUUAAUCAAUAGAGGUGUCAUAGGCACAUGUAAAUACUCAACAGUAGUCUCUUGGCCUCUUGUUUCAUAGUUUUUCUCUUCUGGUAUCUGAGGGUACCCACAGGUCCCCUUCCUUGAACUAGGAACGAAUUAGAUCCACCAUGUGUUGAAAGUGUAAGUCGCAUCUGACUCUUUGUGACCCCAUGGACUGUAACCCACCAGGCUCCUCUGUCCAUGGGAUUUCCCAGGCAAGAAUACUGGAGUGGGUUGCCAUUUCCUUCUCCAGGGGAUCUUCCCAACCCAGGGAUCCCAUUUAAAUGUUUAUCCUUCCCCCCAGAUCAGUAUUUUGCCCACUUCAGGAGGCUCAAUAUAUAUCUAAAGAACGACUAUAGACCAAGUCUCCCACCUCCCUUUCCCUUCCCCCACUUUCCCGUUUUAAAAAUGCAGAAACCAAGACUUGGGUUGUCAGACUUACCUCUAAGUUACUCAGAAAAACAGACAGCUUAUUACUUCUUAAGGUAACUUUCUAGGAGUCUCAGAACACAAAAUGGUUCUUAAUCCAAGGAUCAGGUAUCUGGGGUCCCUUACCUUAACUGCAUUACCCGGGUUUUUUGUAGCUAGCAGCCCGAUGAGCGCGCACGUUUCCAAGGAUGAGCAGGGAGGCAGCGCCCUCUGCUGGGUCCUUCAGGUAUCUGCGCUUUAGCGCCCAUUCUCAGUCUUGGCUGCAAACUAGAACCACUUGGUGAGCUUUAAAAAAUCGCCAAAGUUCAGUUCACAUUGCGGGCUAGUCACAUCGGAAUCUUGGGGGUGUCACCCAAGUGCCAACAUUUUUUAAAACUCCGCAGGCAAUUCCAAUGUUCAGCCAAAACUGAGGAAUAAUUACAGGUGAAUUUUCUAAGCGAAGAAAAUGUAGCCUAGAAUGGAAAAACUUAUGGUGGAGAGUAAAAUUCCCCUGGAUCAAACCUUGCCAGUUUUCUAUUAAAAAUCAGUCAUGUGGGGGCUUCCCUGGGGGCUCAGUGGUAAAGAAUCCACCUGCCAACGCAGGAGACAGAGGUUCGAUCUCCGAUUCUGA